AUUUUCCUUAAAAUUUAGACUUGCACAGUAAGGACUUCAACUGACCUUCCUCAGACUGAGAACUGUUUCCAGUAUAUACAUCAAGUCACUGAGAGAACAUCACCACCCUGAAGCCAGAGACUAACACUGCAGGACUCAGCAGGACUAUUUAAGAAACAACUGAGGCAUCAGACCAACUUUCCCCACAAGUCCUCGGAUCUUUCCUGCCAUGCUGAUGCCAUAUAUUCCAACGUGAUCAACCUGGCUCCCCAGAAGGAGGACGACUUUGCUGUCUACACCAACAUGCCCCCUUUUCAUCACCCCAGGAGGACAUUGCCAGACCAAGUGGAAUAUGUCUCCAUUGUAUUCCACUGAUGGGAAGCUAAUGAGAUGCUCAGAGUGGGGGUCAGACCUGGCCCCAGCUGAAUCUUGGCAUACCCUUUGCUUUAGAUUUAUGUGUGUGUUUAAAAAAAAAAAAA
ensembl:lncRNA novel transcript